rnacentral:rRNA from 1 species
AUUGAACGCUGGCGGCAGGCCUAACACAUGCAAGUCGGACGGUAGCACAGAGAGCUUGCUCUCGGGUGACGAGUGGCGGACGGGUGAGUAAUGUCUGGGGAUCUGCCCGAUAGAGGGGGAUAACCACUGGAAACGGUGGCUAAUACCGCAUAACGUCGCAAGACCAAAGAGGGGGACCUUCGGGCCUCUCACUAUCGGAUGAACCCGGAUGGGAUUAGCUAGUAGGCGGGGUAAUGGCCCACCUAGGCGACGAUCCCUAGCUGGUCUGAGAGGAUGACCAGCCAAACUGGAACUGAGACACGGUCCAGACUCCUACGGGAGGCAGCAGGGGGGAAUAUUGCACAAUGGGCGCAAGCCUGAUGCAGCCAUGCCGCGUGUAUGAAGAAGGCCUUCGGGUUGUAAAGUACUUUCAGCGGGGAGGAAGGCGGUGAGGUUAAUAACCUCACCGAUUGACGUUACCCGCAGAAGAAGCACCGGCUAACUCCGUGCCAGCCGCCGCCGUAA